GCGGACGUAGCUCAGCUGGUAGAGCACCACCUUGCCAAGGUGGGGGUCGCGAGUUCGAAUCUCGUCGUCCGCUCCG
rnacentral:tRNA from 1 species